AGAGAAGAAAUACCCAGGAAGGAGUGAAUGCGUACAGUCUGUAAGCAACUUGCUGCUGCUGUUCUGCAAGUUCUAAAUGCAACGAAAAAAUAAGAUUACAAGAACAGUGGAAAACGGGCUGACAUUGCAACAUUUCUCACCAAGAUGAAACCAAAUAUGGAAAAAUAUAUCACAAUCAGAGUUUGAAUGUAUACUUGGGACUUCUAUAAAUCUUCUUCACAGAGUGAAACAUCAUUAAAUUACUUGGAAAACAAAAAGAACUCCCUCAUCAGCUGCAAAUGGCCAAUGGAAAAUAAGAGAACAAUAUAAGUGACAGAAAGCGCAGCAAUGAC